rfam:Gloeocapsa sp. PCC 7428, complete genome.
CCUGCCGUGGCCGAGUGGAUGAGGCAACAACCUUCUAAGUUGUAUCACGGGGGUUCGAAUCCCUCCGGCAGGG